UUUAUCCGUGACCACCCCCAUGACCUCCAGCUGCCACAAACAUGCAUUCGCUUAUUCUCCCCGUGCAUCUAACAGUUCCACUCGACUGGCUACAGAUUGGGUCCAGAUGGCCACCGGCAACAGCAAGGAAUCCCUCUCAAUCGCUCUCCUCUGCCAUGUUCCGACUCAGCGCCGAUCACCACGCACUCCAUCCCUCGACCUCAGGCAGAUUUGAUCUCGACAUAGAAGACUCAAGUUCCCCCUUCUCUUGAAAUGAAGGAGCAGUUCUGGCAUCCAACUUAUAUUAUUUGAACAAUAAGACUGUAUGAUAUGGUAUAGCUAAUUGUCAGGGAUGUAUGUGCAAGUCUCUAGCCAAGAACUCUCUUCGCUGUUGUCUCGGCAUUGUACGAUUGAAAAUGAUGUUGCCUUUUCCGCUCACAGCCUCAAAUCAAACGUUUCCAAUCCAUUUGCCACAACAGGUACAUUGAUUGUUGUCUCAAUGGAUGCUGGCCAUUUAUGGAUUACAUCAUCUUCAACAAUUGAGAGAAAAGGAGAUGCAGUUUGUCAUUGGACAACACGUGGAUUUGUUCUGUAUGGUUAUGUAUAUAUAUCAGGGUGACAUUUUCACUUGAAAAAUAUCAAAUCGGUAUUGAUACAACUCAAAA